ensembl:ncRNA asRNA:CR42743 antisense RNA:CR42743
AAAAUGUCAGCUGGAUAUUUUUUAUUACACAAUCACAACAUACACAUGCACACACACACACACAUUCACCCGCAUUCUGGCACCUACGAAUAUGCCCAGAAGCAGACUUUUGUUUUAGUUUCCGCUCGACACCAACCCACACACACAGACAAACAAUAUUUUCGGGCACUCCACACAUAAGCCACAAAGUAGUUACUUUUUAUGAUCCUCGCCCGCACACAUACUCAUAAUCGGGCUUGGGCCCAAACUCUGAUUGUUUUCCCCCAAAAACGUCUCCAAAGCUCGUAAAUAUUUUACCAGUUUGGACCGCUUCCGACUCUAGGAACUAAUUUCAGCUCUUAUGGAUGACAUACGACGCACUUUUCGGUGCUCCUUGGGUGCGAGAGCGAUUCAACAUCUACAUUUCGUUAUAAAUGACUUUCAAAGGGCCUAAACGUUGUAAAUGGUCUAAGUGCGUGUUUCUGGCCAAGGCAUCGUCAUCAGCAUUGAGUUUAAACGGACGGCGGCAAUCAAUAGGCCAUGAUAAUUUAUGACGAUUAUGCUGGCCAAAAGCCGAGAAAGUUGUCCAAGAAUAUGACUUGAUAUUAAACUUUGAUUUUGCUGUGACAUCUUUGUUGAGAACAUAAGUUCAUUUCUUCUGAUGCCUUCAUAAAAGAAAUAUCCAUUUAAAGAGUGGCGAAGGAAAGUAUCCAAUCAUAGUGAGUCAUCCACUGAAGUGUUACAUAGAAAACAGUCAACACCAAGAGAUAGAAUAACAAGGAAAUACGAAACUCAUAGCCACUCAAGGAAACGUGAAGUAGACAAGUGGACAGGACUAAAAAUAUGAAAUGAAUAGUCGUUUCCGUGGAAGAUGUUACCAUUAUCUGAAGUAGGGAAUUCGUGAAAGUUUCCACAUCGCCCAAGAAUUAGUAAUCUACUCACGCUGCAUUUGUUGUUGUAGCAUCCCUGGAAGAAAAGUAGUGGAAAUGCCAGGAAGAUCGCAUAAGUGACCAAGCUCAUCACAACUCCAAAGGUGGCAUCCCACAUCUUCCUCUGCUGCAGGCACCUCACAACAAUGGAUUCACUUAACAUCUCACCCAAUCCAAACAAGUUAAUGAACACCGAGCUGACGAUCAAUCCCAGCAAGGCAAAAAUCCAUAUAUUAUUGGGUCUCCUCAAGGAAUGAGUGGAGAUGAAGGUCAAGAUGCUGAGAGUCCAACAGGUCAGGAACAUAAUUAACCAGCUAACAGCUUUGAAGCCAUGAGGCAGGCAUAUGAUUGGAAGGAAAAACAAACCCAGGCAGCUUGUGUACUUGUUCCAGCCAAUCAGAGCUCGAUCAUUGGAUAUAACCGGGAUAAAGUUAGCCAAUACAAAGUAUGAUGGUAUCUGUAGAUAGAAAUGAUUACCUUUUCAUGGUAGUAAAUCAUUGAAGAUAUACAAAUAUAUUCACCAUUGCAAUCCUAUAUAUCACGUUUGAAUCAGCCAUGUUCCUAUAUCCAUUCACCGCCUUCAGCCAAAUUUCGCGCCUGGAAAACUCCAUUUGCUUCUGAUAUUUGCCCAGAAUCUCAUCACCGCUAUCCAUUUCCAAAAAGUUUUCCUGAGUUUGUUUACUUUUCACCUUACUACGUUGAAAGUUAGCAUACGACACAACAAAGAUCACCAGUAAAACCAUCAAAAAAGUGUACAAAAACACAGUUACCCGAAACUUUAUCGAGUAUAGGUCCGCAACUAUAAGGUACACAUUGUAUGAUUUCUUGAUUACGAUAUACAAGUAGACCAUUCCAGUCAAAAUAAAGGACAAGCAGGACCAAAAAGUAAUUCCGUCAACUCGAUAUCCCUGCGCACAAAUAACCAUAAAUCCUAUCACAAUAUAGCGCAGUAUGUCUCCCAUAAUUUUUGCAAACUGCAAAGGACUCAGGCAUAUGGACUCAGGUUUACGAGGAUUACAUAUUUCCCAGAAACUGUUGUAAUAGGACACGAAAAAUGUGGGCCCAAACAAUAGGAAACUAGAUCCAAACAUUGUCAUGGGUGCAAACUCAAUAAGCGUCGCUAAAUUUGGCACAAAACUAAAAGUGGCUUAAACUAAAAUUAGGAAGGAAAUGCGAUUAUCUAUUUUACCCACAAGUAUUUAGUCACCAUGAAAAGCACGCUUAAGUGCACCAUCAAUAAGAAAGCACUUAUUAGUCCAUAAAUUGACAUCGUUGGUAGCUUAAAUACGCAAAAGCAUAUAUCUAAGUAGUUGAUAAGGUAAACCAACGAACCACAACUCAGUGUACUUCUGGCGAGACCACAUGUCUGAUUGGCAUUUCUGAAUGAUUCCCUUGGCAGUGAACAGC